UAAAGUUGUUGCACUUAAAAAGCUCGUAGUUGGAUCUCGGGUCCAGGCUGGCGGUCCGACCCCUGUCGGUUACUGCCUGCUCCUGACCUACCUCCCGGUUUUUUCGCCCUUGGUGCUCUUGACUGAGUGUCUCGGGUGGCCGGAACGUUUACUUUGAAAAAAUUAGAGUGUUCAAAGCAGGCAAUAUCGCCUGAAUAAUGGUGCAUGGAAUAAUGGAAUAGGACCUCGGUUCUAUUUUGCUGGUUUUCGGAGCUCGAGGUAAUGAUUAAGAGGGACUGACGGGGGCAUUCGUAUUACGGUGUUAGAGGUGAAAUUCGGGGAUCGCCGUAAGACGAACUACCUGCGAAAGCAU
rnacentral:rRNA from 1 species